GGGGGGGGGUGAAAAAUUUCCCCCGGGGGGUGAAGGGGGGGGAAAAAAUUGGGUUAAAGAAAUUUUUGGGGGGGAAAUACCCCGGGGGGGGGAAAGGGGGGGCCCCCCCUGGGACAAAAAAAAUUGACCCUUCAAGGGUGGGAAAAAGGGUGGGGGGGCCAAACCGGGAUUUAGAUACCCCCGGGUAGUCCCCCCCCGUAAAACGAAUUUCGACUUUGGAGGGUUGUUCCCCUUGAGGGAGGUGGCUUCCGGGAGCUAACGCGUUAAGUCGACCGCCUGGGGAGUACGGCCGCAAGGUUAAAACUCAAAUGAAUUGACGGGGGCCCGCACAAGCGGUGGAGCAUGUGGUUUAAUUCGAUGCAACGCGAAGAACCUUACCUACUCUUGACAUCCAGAGAACUUAGCAGAGAUGCUUUGGUGCCUUCGGGAACUCUGAGACAGGUGCUGCAUGGCUGUCGUCAGCUCGUGUUGUGAAAUGUUGGGUUAAGUCCCGCAACGAGCGCAACCCUUAUCCUUUGUUGCCAGCGGUUCGGCCGGGAACUCAAAGGAGACUGCCAGUGAUAAACUGGAGGAAGGUGGGGAUGACGUCAAGUCAUCAUGGCCCUUACGAGUAGGGCUACACACGUGCUACAAUGGCAUAUACAAAGAGAAGCGACCUCGCGAGAGCAAGCGGACCUCACAAAGUAUGUCGUAGUCCGGAUCGGAGUCUGCAACUCGACUCCGUGAAGUCGGAAUCGCUAGUAAUCGUA
rnacentral:rRNA from 1 species